rnacentral:rRNA from 1 species
AUUGAACGCUGGCGGCAGGCCUAACACAUGCAAGUCGAGCGAGCGGCGGACGGGUGAGUAAUGUAUGGGGACUGCCCGAUAGAGGGGGAUAACUACUGGAAACGGUAGCUAAUACCGCAUACUAUCGGAUAACCCAUAUGGGAUUAGCUAGUUGGUGAGGUAAUGGCUCACCAAGGCGACGAUGCCUAGCUGGUCUGAGAGGAUGAUCAGCCACACUGGGACUUAGUCACGGCCCAGAAUCCUACGCAGGCACGAAUAGAGAAUAUUCCACAAUGGGCGCAAGCCUGACGCAGCCAUGCCGCGUGUAUGAAGAAAGACUUAAGGUUGUAAAGUACUUUGAGUCGGGAGGCGUUAACGACAGAAGAAGCACCGGCUAACUCCGUGCCAGCAGCCGCGGUAAUGC